GAUGAACGCUGGCGGCGUGCCUAAUACAUGCAAGUCGAGCGAACGGACGAGAAGCUUGCUUUUCUGAUGUUAGCGGCGGACGGGUGAGUAACACGUGGAUAACCUACCUAUAAGACUGGGAUAACUUCGGGAAACCGGAGCUAAUACCGGAUAAUAUUUUGAACCGCAUGGUUCAAAAGUGAAAGACGGUCUUGCUGUCACUUAUAGAUGGAUCCGCGCUGCAUUAGCUAGUUGGUAAGGUAACGGCUUACCAAGGCAACGAUGCAUAGCCGACCUGAGAGGGUGAUCGGCCACACUGGAACUGAGACACGGUCCAGACUCCUACGGGAGGCAGCAGUGGGAAUCUUCCGCAAUGGGCGAAAACCUGACGGAGCAACGCCGCGUGAGUGAUGAAGGUCUUCGGAUCGUAAAACUCUGUUAUUAGGGAAGAACAUAUGUGUAAGUAACUGUGCACAUCUUGACGGUACCUAAUCAGAAAGCCACGGCUAACUACGUG
rnacentral:rRNA from 1 species